GGGUGAUUAGCUCAGUUGGUAGAGCAGCUGACUCUUAAUCAGCGGGUCGAAGGUUCGAGUCCUUCAUCACCCACCA
rnacentral:tRNA from 9 species